rnacentral:tRNA from 5 species
UCCCCGGUAGCUCAGUUGGUAGAGCAAAUGACUGUUAAUCAUUGGGUCGGCGGUUCGAGCCCGUCCCGGGGAGCCA